AUUGAACGCUGGCGGCAGGCCUAACACAUGCAAGUCGAACGGUAACAGGAAACAGCUUGCUGUUUCGCUGACGAGUGGCGGACGGGUGAGUAAUGUCUGGGAAACUGCCUGAUGGAGGGGGAUAACUACUGGAAACGGUAGCUAAUACCGCAUAGCGUCGCAAGACCAAAGAGGGGGACCUUCGGGCCUCUUGCCAUCGGAUGUGCCCAGAUGGGAUUAGCUAGUAGGUGGGGUAACGGCUCACCUAGGCGACGAUCCCUAGCUGGUCUGAGAGGAUGACCAGCCACACUGGAACUGAGACACGGUCCAGACUCCUACGGGAGGCAGCAGUGGGGAAUAUUGCACAAUGGGCGCAAGCCUGAUGCAGCCAUGCCGCGUGUAUGAAGAAGGCCUUCGGGUUGUAAAGUACUUUCAGCGGGGAGGAAGGGAGUAAAGUUAAUACCUUUACUCAUUGACGUUACCCGCAGAAGAAGCACCGGCUAACUCCGUG
rnacentral:rRNA from 1 species